ACGCUCGACACCUACGGGAGGCAGCAGUGGGGAAUAUUGCACAAUGGGGGAAACCCUGAUGCAGCGACGCCGCGUGAAGGAAGAAGUAUCUCGGUAUGUAAACUUCUAUCAGCAGGGAAGAAAGUGACGGUACCUGACUAAGAAGCCCCGGCUAAUUACGUGCCCGCAGCCGCGGUAAUCUGAGCGGGCUGGCAAGGC
rnacentral:rRNA from 1 species